rnacentral:rRNA from 1 species
GAUGAACGCUGGCGGCAGGCUUAACACAUGCAAGUCGAGCGCCCCGCAAGGGGAGCGGCAGACGGGUGAGUAACGCGUGGGAACGUACCCUUUGCUACGGAAUAGCUCCGGGAAACUGGAAUUAAUACCGUAUGUGCCCUACGGGGGAAAGAUUUAUCGGCAAAGGAUCGGCCCGCGUUGGAUUAGGUAGUUGGUGGGGUAAUGGCCUACCAAGCCGACGAUCCAUAGCUGGUUUGAGAGGAUGAUCAGCCACACUGGGACUGAGACACGGCCCAGACUCCUACGGGAGGCAGCAGUGGGGAAUCUUAGACAAUGGGGGAAACCCUGAUCUAGCCAUGCCGCGUGAGCGAUGAAGGCCUUAGGGUUGUAAAGCUCUUUCAGUGGGGAAGAUAAUGACGGUACCCACAGAAGAAGCCCCGGCUAACUCCGUGCCAGCCGCCGCCGUAAGAC